AACUGCCGACUAGGGAUCGGGCGACCUCAAUUUGAUGUGUCGCUCGGCACCUUACGAGAAAUCAAAGUCUUUGGGUUCUGGGGGAGUAUGGUCGCAAGGCUGAAACUUAAAGGAAUUGACGGAAGGGCACACCAGGAGUAAACAAAGCUUCGCAGCAGCUCUGCUCCGAAUAGCAGCCCGAAAGGGUGAGGUGGUGAUCCUAGUAAAUGCUAGUCCACAUUUCUAGUGUGGGCAACACCCUCAAAUUGCGGGGAACUCCUAAAGCUUCAGACACCAAGCCUUGUCAACGAAAGUGCAAGGUGGCCAGGUUAAUAGCCUCGGGUAAGGUAAAAGCUCUGAAGAUGAUACAAUGGACGAUCCGCAGCCAAGGCCCUAAGUCUUUAGAAAAAAAGAUAUGGGACAGGUUCAGAGACUAGAUGGGGGUGGGUCACGAACUGUGGCUUAAGGUAUAGUCCGGCCACGGGUGAAAGCUUGUGGGUGAAUAGAAAACGGGAGCCUGCGGCUUAAUUUGACUCAACACGG
rnacentral:rRNA from 1 species